GAUGAAGAACGCAGCGAAAUGCGAUAAGUAAUGUGAAUUGCAGAAUUCAGUGAAUCAUCGAAUCUUUGAACGCACCUUGCGCCCUUUGGCCAUUCCGAAGGGCAUGCCUGUUUGAGUAUCAUGAACACCUUAACUCUUCAUGGUUUUCCGUGAUGAGCUUGGACUUUGGGGGUCUUGCUGGCCUAUGGUCAGCUCCUCUAAAAUAAAUCAGCUUGCCAGUGUUUGGUGGGUAUCACAGGUGUGAUAACUAUCUACGCUUGUGGUUUUCCACCAGGUAACCUUCAGCAGUGGAGGUUCGCUGGAGCUCACAGAUGUGUCUCUCCUCAGUGAGGACAGCUCUUUGAAUGUUUGAUCUCAAAUCAGGUAGGACUACCCGCUGAACUUAAGCAUAUCAAUAAGCGGAGGA
rnacentral:misc_RNA from 1 species